rnacentral:rRNA from 1 species
CCUACGGUGCGCAGCAGUGAGGAAUAUUGGUCAAUGGGCGCUAGCCUGAACCAGCCAAGUAGCGUGAAGGAUGACUGCCCUAUGGGUUGUAAACUUCUUUUAUAUGGGAAUAAAGUGCAGUAUGUAUACUGCUUUGCAUGUACCUUAUGAAUAAGGAUCGGCUAACUCCAUGCCAGCAGCCGCGGUAAUACGGAGGAUCCGAGCGUUAUCCGGAUUUAUUGGGUUUAAAGGGUGCGCAGGCGGAGGUGCAAGUCAGCGGUCAAAUUGCGGGGCUCAACCCCGUACUGCCGUUGAAACUGCAUCCCUUGAGUGCGCGAGAAGUAUGCGGAAUGCGUGGUGUAGCGGUGAAAUGCAUAGAUAUCACGCAGAACUCCGAUUGCGAAGGCAGCAUACCGGCGCGCAACUGACGCUCAUGCACGAAAGCGUGGGUAUCGAACAGGAUUAGAUACCCCAGUAGUC